UCAAUUCUCAAUUAUGAAACUGCCAUGC
rnacentral:sRNA from 1 species